AGAUUGAACGCUGGCGGCAGGCCUAACACAUGCAAGUCGAGCGGCAGCACGGGUACUUGUACCUGGUGGCGAGCGGCGGACGGGUGAGUAAUGCCUAGGAAUCUGCCUGAUAGUGGGGGAUAACGUUCGGAAACGGACGCUAAUACCGCAUACGUCCUACGGGAGAAAGUGGGGGAUCUUCGGACCUCACGCUAUCAGAUGAGCCUAGGUCGGAUUAGCUAGUUGGUAGGUAAAGGCCUACCAAGGCUACGAUCCGUAACUGGUCUGAGAGGAUGAUCAGUCACACUGGAACUGAGACACGGUCCAGACUCCUACGGGAGCAGCAGUGGGGAAUAUUGGACAAGUGGGACGAAAGCCUGAUCCAGCCAUCGCCGCGUGUG
rnacentral:rRNA from 1 species